rnacentral:rRNA from 1 species
ACUCCUACGGGAGGCAGCAGUGGGGGAAUAUUGGACAAUGGGCGAAAGCCUGAUCCAGCCAUGCCGCGUGUGUGAAGAAGGUCUUCGGAUUGUAAAGCACUUUAAGUUGGGAGGAAGGGCAGUAAGUUAAUACCUUGCUGUUUUGACGUUACCAACAGAAUAAGCACCGGCUAACUUCGUGCCAGCAGCCGCGGUAAUACGAAGGGGUGCAAGCGUUAAUCGGAAUUACUGGGCGUAAAGCGCGCGUAGGUGGUUCAGCAAGUUGGAUGUGAAAUCCCCGGGGCUCAACCUGGGAACUGCAUCCAAAACUACUGAGCUAGAGUACGGUAGAGGGUGGUGGAAUUUCCUGUGUAGCGGUGAAAUGCGUAGAUAUAGGAAGGAACACCAGUGGCGAAGGCGACCACCUGGACUGAUACUGACACUGAGGUGCGAAAGCGUGGGGAGCAAACAGGAUUAGAUA